rnacentral:rRNA from 1 species
AACGAACGCUGGCGGCAUGCUUAACACAUGCAAGUCGAACGGGAUGCUUCGGCAUUCAGUGGCGGACGGGUGAGUAACACGUGGGAACUUGUCCUCGGGUGGGGAACAACCGCUGGAAACGGCGGCUAAUACCGCAUGAACCCUGAGGGGCAAAGGCUUCGGCCGCCUGAGGAGGGGCCCGCGUCCGAUUAGCUUGUUGGUGGGGUAACGGCCUACCAAGGCGUCGAUCGGUAGCUGGUCUGAGAGGACGAUCAGCCACACUGGGACUGAGACCCGGCCCAGACUCCUACGGGAGGCAGCAGUGGGGAAUAUUGGACAAUGGGCGAAAGCCUGAUCCAGCAAUGCCGCGUGAGUGAUGAAGGCCUUAGGGUUGUAAAGCUCUUUCGCCUGAGACGAUGAUGACGGUAUCAGGAGAAGAAGCCCCGGCUAAUUCCGUGCCAGCAGCCGCGGUAAU